ACCCUCAAAAAAGUGAAACAUGGCAGUUGUUCACAUUAUGUUAAUAUAUCAUUUCAAGUUAACACAUAAAAAUUGUGUUUGUUGUGUUUAAUUAAUUAAUUCAAGUAACGAUAACAUGAUUUUGUCGCAUGUUAACCUAAAUAAUUUUGUGUGAACACAACAAAAUUUAGUUAAGUGAAUUAGCACACCAAUACCUCUCUUGGCCAUAAGGGGGCAGUAAUGCAACAAUAAAACUGCACGAAUAGAAAAACCAGUUUAAACCGGAUUAGUCUGGAGCCCGCCGCUUUCCGAGUUGGAAGUCCCUUUCGCCGUGAAUUUAUGUUGGCAAUCCAAAUUUUCUCUGUAAGAUGGUUAAUGGGUCACUGUCUGCUUGUCAGAGCCUCGGAUGGAGGAGUUUUCUCCUGUUUGACUGGAGAUUUGAAAACGCCUGCAGACAGGAAUUAUUUCUCUGCAGCCGUUCCAGGCCGUGCCCUUUCUGAGGAUUAAGAUCAUUUCUACACCUAUACGCAGACCAUAUCAAGUCUUUUUAUAACCCGCCAUCUGUAGCAUGGAAGAAACAAAGCAUAAUACAUUCCAUCAAAAUCCCUUACUUAUUAAUUGUAUGUAUUUUUAUUUUCUUAAUUUUAUUGACUUUCAAUUUUAUAUUGGUUAUUAUACAAAAUCUAUGUUAUCAUUUUGAGAAACUUUAUGUAUUUUAUUUUUGCGUUACAUGCGAUGUAAGUCCAGCAGGUGGCGGUAAAUGCACCUUAAGUUGGUUUGCCAUCCGCCAAUAAAAUACAAAAGAAGAUGAUGAACAUGUGACAUCACUUCCUCUUUCACCAGCGCCUUUGUGGUUGUUUCAUUAAGGAAGUUUGACCCCUACUUCUGGUUGGAAUCAAGAAGAAGAAAGACGGACUGAAAGCUUCACCUUUGACCUUCAUCACUGCAGAUCACUGUGGGCGGGACCAGCUGUUCAUCAUCUGAAGCUGCAGGAACGCCAAACACACAACUUCCUGUCUGAGUGCCUGUCAGGCUGACAGACAGACUUGUGAAUGAAGAGGACUGUGGAGUUUACACUGACUAACACAGAGAGAACCAAACGUCAUUGCAACAUUUUCCGAUGGAAUUUUGUUAUGUGCUCCACGCGGCGCGCCGUGAGCAGAAACUUAAGGAGGGCGCUGCAGUGAGAGGCCUCUUGUAUCGCCACAUCAGAGCUUAACUGUCAGGCAUCCUGCCAGGACAGCUGCACCUGUUUGGAGGACCCGUGGCUACGAGGCGCCUCAGAGGAGCGAGCCGCCAGCAAAUACUUCUUCCCAACCUGAAGGUUGAAGCACAAAGAGGCCAGAUGGCACAACAGCUACCUUACAAUCACAAAGGCUGGACUGACUGUAGAUGACCUGAACAGAUUCGGACCUUUCAGAAAACACUCAGAGUUUUCUGCAGGUGUGUCUGCAGUGCUUAAAAUCUGUAAAUAUAAUUAAUCUUCAACACUAGGAGGAAAGAAUAAGCGUACAUUGAAUCUGUAUAUUUGUGUUGUAGUUAGAAACCUCUAUGAAAGGCCCGAGUUAUUCAUGAAAAGGGAAACUAAACUUGUCACUUUGUGUGUAAAUGAGGUGCAUCAGGCAGAUGAAUAGCAAAUGGAAAGUCAGCUGCACUUUCCCAUUUAAAUUUCCCAAGAAAUUUCGGCGAAGCCGGAAUUUCCACACAUGAAGCAGGAACACAGACGGAGCAACACAAGGGAAACUAACGUCCCAGUUAUCUUUUCUAGCUCUGGUAAAUUGUUGUUGCAGGAGAACAAAUCUGGAGCAUAAAGAGGGAAAUUUAGCUGGUAUUUAUUUACAUAAAGUUAUUUUUCAGUUGCAGCUCUAAUUAUACUCCAAAUUAAAGAGAAGGUGGCAAAACAAAGCAUUUUGAAUUAAUUCUGCAAUCCCAACAGUAAGACGUUAAGUAAUUAUGAUAAAUAGAUAGUUUUCAUUGUAACUAAUUAACUCCAACUGAAAAUACUGCAGGUGAAACAAUUCAACAUGAGAUUAAUGCUGCAGGUUCCUCCAGCAGGUGAAUCUUCCUGAGUUUCUGCCUGGAUUUUAAUCCAAGUUCAUGUUUCAGUUCAUCCUCCUCUUUCAUGUGUGGAUCUGAAGAUGAUAACCUUCAUGAGAUCAAAACCUUUUUGUAAUCUACAGUCUGUUUUUUCAAGAGCUGUGCAU